rnacentral:pre_miRNA from 14 species
GAAAUGAAUUAAACUAGUUUCCUUAUGAAAGACCCCAGAGCGGGGAGACUCUCACUCAAGUCUCGGGAUGAUGUGACCCCCACAAGAACUCACAUAAGACC